rnacentral:rRNA from 1 species
AGUGAACGCUGGCGGUAGGCCUAACACAUGCAAGUCGAACGGCAGCACAGUAAGAGCUUGCUCUUACGGGUGGCGAGUGGCGGACGGGUGAGGAAUACAUCGGAAUCUACUUUUUCGUGGGGGAUAACGUAGGGAAACUUACGCUAAUACCGCAUACGACCUACGGGUGAAAGCAGGGGAUCUUCGGACCUUGCGCGAUUGAAUGAGCCGAUGUCGGAUUAGCUAGUUGGCGGGGUAAAGGCCCACCAAGGCGACGAUCCGUAGCUGGUCUGAGAGGAUGAUCAGCCACACUGGAACUGAGACACGGUCCAGACUCUUACGGGAGGACGCAGUGGGGAAUAUUGGACAAUGGGGGCGAGCCUGAUCCAGCCAUACCGCGUGGGGGAAGAAGGCGUUCGGGUUGUAAAGCCCUGUUGUUGGGAAAGAAAAGCAGCAGGUUAAUACCCCGCUGUUCUGACGGUACCCAAAGAAUAAGCACCGGCUAACUUCGUG